rnacentral:rRNA from 1 species
CAUUAUACCGUGAAACUGCGAAUGGCUCAUUAAAUCAGUUAUCGUUUAUUUGAUAGUACCUUACUACUUGGAUAACCGUGGUAAUUCUAGAGCUAAUACAUGCUAAAAACCCCAACUUCGGGAGGGGUGUAUUUAUUAGAUAAAAAACCAACGCCCUUCGGGGCUUCUUGGUGAUUCAUGAUAACUUUACGGAUCGCAUGGCCUUGCGCCGGCGACGGUUCAUUCAAAUUUCUGCCCUAUCAACUUUCGAUGGUAAGGUAUUGGCUUACCAUGGUUUCAACGGGUAACGGGGAAUUAGGGUUCGAUUCCGGAGAGGGAGCCUGAGAAACGGCUACCACAUCCAAGGAAGGCAGCAGGCGCGCAAAUUACCCAAUCCCGACACGGGGAGGUAGUGACAAUAAAUACUGAUACAGGGCUCUUUUGGGUCUUGUAAUUGGAAUGAGUACAAUUUAAACCUCUUAACGAGGAACAAUUGGAGGGCAAGUCUGGUGCCAGCAGCCGCGGUAAUUCCAGCUCCAAUAGCGUAUAUUAAAGUUGUUGCAGUUAAAAAGCUCGUAGUUGAAACUUGGGUCUGGCUGGCAGGUCCGCCUCACCGCGUGUACUUGUCCGGCCGGGCCUUCCUUCUGGAGAACCUCAUGCCCUUCACUGGGCGUGUUGGGGACCAGGACUUUUACUUUGAAAAAAUUAGAGUGUUCAAAGCAGGCCUUUGCUCGAAUACGUUAGCAUGGAAUAAUAGAAUAGGACGUGCGGUCCUAUUUUGUUGGUUUCUAGGACCGCCGUAAUGAUUAAUAGGGACAGUCGGGGGCAUCAGUAUUCAAUUGUCAGAGGUGAAAUUCUUGGAUUUAUUGAAGACUAACUACUGCGAAAGCAUUUGCCAAGGAUGUUUUCAUUAAUCAGUGAACGAAAGUUAGGGGAUCGAAGACGAUCAGAUACCGUCGUAGUCUUAACCGUAAACUAUGCCGACUAGGGAUCGGGCGAUGUUCUUUUUCUGACUCGCUCGGCACCUUACGAGAAAUCAAAGUUUUUGGG